GCCGAGGGCCCGUCCUCCCAUCAGGACCUGCCUUGGGAGGCAGGGACCUCGCUCCUGGGGGGAUCCGUGCCGAGGUGGGUCCAGGCAUCCUUGGAAUCCUGGAACCACUCCUCAGCACAGCCACCCCAACCAGUGCAAAUGGCAUCCCCCAAGACCAGGACAGCUCCGCCCAGCUCACCCCGGAGUCGCCCAUCCCUAGAACGAUGAACUCAGAUAUCAACUCUGGAAGGUCCCUGAUUGACAGAUGGGGAAACUGAGGGCAGCAACCCUCACGAGGUCGUCCCAGCUUGAACCCGAGCUGGUGCCUGGGAGCCCCGGACCCUCACUGUGCUGCCCAACCUGGGACGCCAAGGCCACGUGCUUCCCUGCUGUUAAGAGAUGGAAACAUCACAGGGAGGGGCCCUGCCCACCCGGGAUGCUGUAUGGAGGAAUAUGACGCCGGAAGAGGCGGCUGCCAUCUUGCACCCAGAGGAAGCAACCGGGUUCCCCACCCCAGAUCCCUGGGUUAACCCACCCUGGCCAUCUUCCUCUAGUCUUCUUGGCGAGUUCCCUCCGGCCAGGUCUCUGCAGCCAUGAGCCCUCCUGUGACCCACAUCCCACAUCAGCCCCAUGAAGGCGACCCCAUGAUGGUGCCCCCAUCAGCGCUGAUCAGGAGGAGCUCCAGGACCUGCCCGCUCUGCUUCUGAGCCCCCGUGGCUGCUCAGCCCAGCUCUUCCCGGAAGCCGCCCAAUCUACCAGGUGCAACCAUGUCCCUGUGAAUGCAGCUGGGUUGGGAAGGUGUAAGGCAGAGUGAAAGAAGCCAGACUCAAAAGACAUCUUAUUGUGGGAUCGUUUGGACAUGACAUUCUGGAAAAGGCAAAAUUAUAGAGACAGAAAACAGAUGCUCGGGAGCAGGGACUGAGGUGGGAAGGAACCUUCGGGGGUGAUGGGAACUCUUUAGGUCUUAAUGUUGGUAAUGGCUACAGGGCCCCACACAUCUGUCAAGACACACUGAACUGUACACCUGGAAAGAAUGAACUGCACUGUAUGUAAAUUACACCCCCAUUAACCUGACUUCAAAACACAGCAGGAUGCCCUUCUGGGAAGAGCCAGGCCCUCCCCACUCAAGAAGGAGUAACCCCAAUGUCUGCAAACUGGUUUUGAUCAAUGAACCUCUUCCUUAGAAUGAACUACCUGCAGUAACCUCAAUAUAAAAGAAAGCAAAGAUGCUUUCUCCUCCAACCCAAGAUGCCCCCAAGAAAUCAUGGGCUCCGGGGGACCUCGAAUGCUAGUGCCAGCCCUACCUCCUGCAGGUGAACCUGGGGGCCAGGGCUGGCUCGCCAGGCAUGGGGAGGGGACUCCACAUGGACACCCUGCCGGCAGGGGCCAUGGUGCGAGAGGGAGGUACACCACAGCAGAAGCAUCUCUGCUGUGGAAACACAGCCCUGUGUCCAUCAGCAGCCUCCCAGCCACGGUCCAGACGGGCGGUCAAGCAUGCAGGCUUCAGACGUGGACGCCGUACCUCCCACCCCCGGCUGGGAGACCCAGGCAAGUCACUCUGGCCUGUGUGCCCAGGUUCCCUCAAGUGUGACAUGGCCACAGCCCCUCCCUUGCUGGGCUUUCAGGACGGUUCCACGAGACGGCAUAGGUGGAAAACGCAGCUUGCAUUUAACCCCACAUCCAGGCAGUGGCCGCCGCCGUCCUCGCUGUUACCCCUCGGUGCUGGGGGAGGGGAGGGCAAAGGCCCCAUGGGCGCCCCUCCCCCUGGCCUGAGCCGUUUCAUCUGGUUUGUAUCGAGGGGUCUCCAUGUGACUGGGUGUGAAAGGAGAGCUCUGAGGCUCGAUGAACUUUGAAAGCCCUGGUCCCCAAGGCCUUCCCGCUGUCGGCCUGAGACUCUGACCGCCCCUUGCCUCGGGCCUGGAAACAGGCCUAACGCUGUCCAGGCGCGCCCAUCAAAGCCCGUCUGUCGAGCACACAUUUUUCUGAGCGUUUGGAGGAUCUGGGAGGUCCUGCGAGGUGUCGAGGACGGAGGUCCUGGCUGGCCCUCCCCUGGGCCAGCAUCACCUCCUGAGAAGGGCCGCUCAAAGAGGGUUCAAUUUCCCAACCCGGGGAGGGCAUGUGUUUAAUUAAGAUCUAUAAAAACGUAGCCGGCAAAACGAGAGAACUAUUUCAUCUUUCACAGUCAAUCCGGGUGUGUGUCUUACCUGGAAAAAGUGGUUUAUGCAGAAAGAAUUUCCCAAAUGGGUUCCAUAUGCCUCACUCUCCCAAGCGGGGGCCUUCCACGGGGAAGGGGGCUGGGGCGGGGGGCUGAGACCGAGCCCCCUCCUCCUAGACGCUCGGCCUCAGCCCACACCCUCCAGCGGCUGCCGCUGUUUAAACAGAAGACGUCAUGGCCAGUGAUAUACGCUGGAUUCCAAAGAUGGUUCCAUCCAGGGGAGAUGGCUCCUGGAGCCGGCUCCAGCUCAGGUAAGCCACCCAGAAUGGCCAGGGUGUGACCCGGCUGACCCUCCCAAGGGCCUGACCCACAGGCGCCCCUUGUGCAGACCGUUUCUUGCCAGUUAUUCUGCAGCAGGUCAAGGCCGUGAGCACAGUCCUGAGAUGCUCAGGAUCCCGGAGGUGAAAGGCGCUAAGCACGUGCCUGGAUGCAUCCCCCCCCACAUACAAUGGGACGGGGGAGCCCCAGAGGGGACACAGCUAGUCCAAGACCACAGACCUGGUGAGCCCCAAAGAGUGUCAUCUUUUCAGAUUCCCCUUUGAAGGUCAAGACGCACCAGAAGGGACAUAGAGGGGAAAGGGGGAUGGGGGCUGUCCUUAACGCCACCCCUCCUACUGCCCCAGUGUCACCUCUUCCAAAGGGUCUGCUGCGGUGCCCCACCCCUCACAUGGCUCUCUAGCUUGUCCCACUGCGACAUGAUUUUACAUAUAUCAGCUCACUCAAAUACAUAUUUAUAGAUUUACCAGAACACUGGCUUUCCCCUUAUAUUAGGGCAGAUUCCCAGGAGGUCUGGGACUAUAUUUGUCUGGUUCGCUGUGGUUUCCUGUGCUGAGGACGGACCUUGGGAUGUAACAGGUGCUCAGUUCAUUGUCACCACCACCACCACCACCACCGUCACCACCACCACCGCCACCACCAGCACCGUCACAACCACCACUGCCACCACCACCACCGUCACCACCACCACCGCCACCACCACCACCAUCACCAGUGUCACCAUCACACUGCUAAUAACAGCUAACCCACAUUGAGCACCAACCAGACCCUGUGUCCGGUGUUUUGUGUGGAUUAACACAUUGCACCACCCCUCCAUCCGCACAGAGUGAGACUGUUACCACCCCAUUUCGCAGGUGAGGACACUAAGGCACAGGACUUUAGAAACUUGCCCAGAGUCAGACAGUUCACAAAGGUCAAAGCUGAGAUGCCCUUGAAUUGACAGAAAGAGCCCCUGUGCUGAUGAGCCAGCCCCUCUGAGUGGCGUGGGGGCAGCCCUCUGCCCUCACACUUUAUUGCAUCUUUGGGCACCUGACGAAGCAGCUUGCACUGUAAGAGGAAGAAAGCAGGGCUGGAGGAGGUCUGGCCCCUUGCCUGUAGUCAACACAUGGUGUAACUUCCAUUGACCACACAAUGCUGGUGACGAGAUUUCCCCUGCCGGGGUCUCAGGGGAGAUCCCCUGAGGGCUUAGGGCCUCCUGCCCGGCUGCCCCCGCCCCUGCCCCCCAGGCCUUCCUCAGUCUCUCUUGCACACACGUGGUGCUGACCCUGAAUCCCGUGGUCUCCCUCCAGCCCUGACGGACCCCGAUUUCUCUCUGAAGGGAGCGGCCCCCCCUCCUUGGCAGCUAAACCUGCAGGGGCCCCUAGGAGUGGGUUUCCCCCGACAGCCAUCCGCUCCUUCCCUCGCCCGGCAUCGCGCUGUUGACAACCUGUAGCCUCGGGAAUCAGCCGGCGGGACGGAAAAUUGGGAGGCGUCCUGGAGGACGCUUGUAAGAAGGCUAUGACUUCAGAAUUUGGGGGAGGGGGUGGAAGUCAGGCACUCAGCGGGGGCUCCUCAGAGAGAACCUCACUUAAGAUCUGAACGUCCGAACCGAACCGAAUGGAAUUUGCUCCCUCCGGCUCAACGGCCUCCCUUUCCCCAUCCAUACACAGCGGCCGCCUUUCUACCACCACGCGGUGCCCUGCCCAUGCCAGCCCCCCGGGUGUGGGGGCUGCACUGCAUGACUUCAGAUUGGUGCCUUUAAAUCUCAAAUGAUUCCAAGGACCCCUCAAGUAUUUGGAACAGAAGUGCAUGGUGAAGGUGUGUGGCGAGGUUUUAAAAACCAGUCCACUCUGGGGCCUUUGCUUCAGGAUUUCUGGGCAGACCGCCAGCUUCUCUUUCCAAUUAAACGCCCCAUUUGGCUGGCGGGUGGGCCCCUGCGCUGGAAGGGGGAGAUGGCUGCUACCCCCGCUGUCUGGAUGCAAUCUGGGGACAGAUUUCAUAAGUCGGGGGAAGGAAUGCACCUGAGAUCCCAUCGCAGCAGAAGUGUCCCCUCAGCAGCUCCCCGUAAAGGAGGAGAAUCUGUGUGUCCAGAUCCAGGAAGGACACGCUGGGUGAAGAGCGGGGUGAGGGGCCUAGGGAAGGGGGGACAAGGGUGACAACAGCUUCAGCCUAGGAGGGCAAGGGGAGCAUGGACCCCUCACUCAAGGCACCUCUCCACGGGCUGCUCUGGGUGACGUUUGGACCAAGACUAUAAUGCAUCCAUCAGAACAAAUAAUGCCAUGCAGAGCUCACGGCAGGCAAACUCUCCCUAUGUGAUCAGCACGGUGGCACAAGGACCCUAGGACGUAGAUGGGGAACCUGAGGUUCAGGAAGUUGAGUCGACAAGGUCGCAGGCUGGCUGGAGCCGGGGCUGGAUCCAAGCUGGAGAGAGAAGCCUCCCCCAGCCUUCAUCAGCUUUGGACCCCAUGGCCUCUACCAUGAAGGCCCUGGGGCCAGCCAGGGAAGAAGGCUGUGGAGCACAUGGGCGCACACACGCGUGCAAAUGCGCGUGGACUUUUGCACAUACGUGUACACGUUGGGAGGAGCCUGUAAAGAAAAAAAGAAAAAAACGUAAUGAAAUGACUCUGAGCAAAGCCAGGUGCCCAGAAAGGAAGCAGAAGGAAGAUGAAAGGCAAGAACGCAACCCCCGCCCGCCUCUAGAAACUUCCAACAGGAGGAGGCCUCCUGCUGGCUCCCAUUUGUGGACGCAAGGCCACCGGAGCUGCCACUGCCAUGCUGGGACUGCGUGGCUGAGGGGACACGUCCAGGGGGAGGCCGGUGACCCCAAGGCGGCUAUCUCAGCCUGCGAUCUCAUCACCAGAUGGGCCCUCUCUCGCACGCUCCCUAAAAAGCCGGAAAUCCAUCUGCAAGGCAGGACAAAUGGCCAUCCCUGCUUCUUCCAUCUGCCAGGACAUGUGAACACGGGCGCUGUGGCAGCGCCGGCUGAGGGAUUCUGGGUAUUUACAGCCAGCGAUCUCUUAUCAGCUGUGCCAUCGAGCCGUGAUGGGCUAGGCUGACCCUGCAUCUAUCCGAAUGUGCUGAUCCUUUGAGACUUGUCUAACCCUUUAAUGCAAGGCGACAGCAAUACUGUUUCCUGUCAGGCCCAAAGACACCACUGCCUGUUUUGCAAAGGACGCGUGCCCGACUUCCCGGCAAAUUGAAGACAACUGGGAAACGUCCACCUAUCCAUUCACAGGCCAAGGGCGCUGCGGGCUUCACCGUCCACUGGGAUUUCACCUCCAAGGCCCCAUCUCAGAUCAGAAGCUAUUAGGACGACCGGCCCAUCAGCAGCGGGGAGACAGCACAAGGUGGAGGAGCAGAAUUGCUCUUCUUGUCCCCGUUUGCUACUAAAGUGCUGUGUGACAUUGGCUAAGUCGCUUGCCCUCUCUGUUUCCCAUUUUGUUCGGCUGCACAACCAGCUCUUUGGUGCUGGGAUUUGGAGUUUAAACCUCCUCAGCCGGGUCUUCCAAACCCCUGACAACGCUCAGGCUUCUUCUCCCUCCCCCUGUGCCCCACGUUGCCCUGAAGGCCUUGCGGGUCCCAAACAGUGCCCCCAGCCAGCCCCUUGUCCUCCAUCCGCUACCCUGCUCCGAUCGCAGCUGAGAGAGGACCACCGGCCAGUUCCUCCUUCGCGGUGCAUCCCCAUUUUGCAGGUGGGAGGACGGUGGCUCAGGGAAGCAACGUGAGAAAGUGGUGAAGCCAACGUGAGCCCCGGACUCUGCUCUGCUGCAGACCCUGAGGGUCUCCUGAGUGGAGGGAGAGACCCCGGAGGCAGAGGCACGGCCAAGACAGCAUCUUGGCCCUGGACGGCGGCGGAAUACCAGCAGCACCUCGGCGGAGACCUCUGCACCCUGAGACUCGAAGAGGAGGUUCCAACCUGCAGGGAACAGCAUGGGCCCUUUCCAGGUGGAGACACAAGAGUGCAAGCUCCCAGGAGGAGGUCGGCCCCGAACCCCCAUCAUGACCUGGUCUCCAAGUGCCCCCCAACCCCCACCUCUAACAACUCCUGCCCCCACCCGGGGCAGCGCUGUAUGGCUAAAAGCAUCGUGUCCCUCUGUCUGUCUUUCCCUCUGUCUCUCCCUCUGUCUGUCUCUUUUUAGGGCUACACCUGCAGCAUAUGGAAGUUCACAGGCUAGGGGUUGAAUCAGAGCUACAGCUGCCGGUCUACACCACAGCAUGUGACAAUGCCAGAUCCUUAACCCACUGGAUGAGGCCAAGGAUCAAAUCUGCAUCCUCACAGAGACAAUAUCAGGUCCUUAACCCACUGAGCCACAGUACUCCCAAAGUGGCCCAAUUUUUGUCUCUUAGUUUUUUAUUUUAUUUUAUUUUAUUUUAUUUUAUUUUAUUUUGUCUUUUUUAGGACUGCACCCACAGCACAUGGAAGUUCCCAGGCUAGGGGUCAAGAUGGAGCUGCAGCUGCCAGCUUACACCACACCCACAGCAAUGCCAGAUCCGAGCCGCAUCUGUGAGCUACAUGGAAGCUCAUGUCAAGGCCGGAUCCCCAACCCACUGAGUGAGGCCAGGGAUAGAACCCAUGUCCUCGUGGAUACUAGUUGGGCUCAUUACUGCUGAGCCACAGCAGGAACUCCUGCCUCUCUUUUAAACCUGAGUUUUCUAUAAAAGACUCCAUUCAAGGAAAAAUUUCUAUAGUACAUCAAUUUAAAUUAUUUUUCUUUAUGUUGGCAAACAACAGUCAAUUUACAAACGUGCCAACUUGCCAUAGUAACAGCGAAGUUUCUCAUAAUGGGUUUGCGGGGGGGCUCCUAAAAAGGCCAAGAGAAUACCUACCUUCCAGUCUCCGGCGGCAGCCCCCACAGCCUGGGGGCGGCUGGGCAGCUACACAGGUCACCAUGGAUACGCACUCUCCUUGACCACACCCCAUCCACCCAGUUUAAUGCGCACCUGCUAUGUGCCAGGCGCUGAGCAGGACGGAGACAGCCCUCCCACACGCCUCCCAUCUUCCCAGGCCGUGCUGGGAGCAUCACCACCCCCCGAGAUGCCUCUGACAUCCGGCAUCAGGUCCUGCGGCGGCCGGGGCACUGACUCCUCCAGCAGGACCAGAGCGCAGCCGCUAUCACUGGCCUGUUGUCUCCUUUCCACCUGCCCGUCCUACCAGUCCCUCCCAAAUUCUCCCGGUUCAUCUUCAGAGCCGGACUGCGUUCCUUAUCAGGGCCUCCCGCGGGAAGUCUGCUCGUGCGAGCAUCAGUGAUCUUGCUGGGCCAAGAUGGGCGGUUUCCAGCAAAAGUCCCCCCACACCUGUGCACCCCCACCACCAUCGUCCAAAACUGGACUUGCCUCUUGGGGGAUUUUUCCACCGGACUGGAGCACCACCUACGAGGGCAGUGAGCACAGAUGCGGUCGCUGCCUGUCCCCGUGCCUUGCACAGCCGAGGCAUCUUCAGCCAAUCCUUGUUCAAUGAAUAAAAGAGAACGCUUU
rnacentral:lncRNA from 1 species